rnacentral:rRNA from 1 species
GACGAACGCUGGCGGCGUGCUUAACACAUGCAAGUCGAACGGUGAAGGUGGAGCUUGCUCUGCUGGAUCAGUGGCGAACGGGUGAGUAACACGUGAGCAAUCUGCCCCGAACUCUGGGAUAACCACGGGAAACCGUGGCUAAUACUGGAUAUGUCGAGUGACCGCAUGGUCUGCUCGUGGAAAGAUUUUUCGGUUCGGGAUGAGCUCGCGGCCUAUCAGCUUGUUGGUGAGGUAAUGGCUCACCAAGGCGACGACGGGUAGCCGGCCUGAGAGGGUGACCGGCCACACUGGGACUGAGACACGGCCCAGACUCCUACGGGUGGAG